rnacentral:lncRNA from 1 species
UUUUUCUUUUUUUUUUCUUUUCUUUUUUUUUUUUUUUGGGCUUCUGCAGCUUUUAUUUUUGCAAGUAAACCACUGGGGGGAGUCUUGAUGGUGUGGGCACCCUAGAGAUUACGCUGGAGUUCAGAGGGCUCCAGACACUAGCUGGAAAGUCAGGUGACAGAAACAAUGAUUCAGACCGAUCACAUGAUUACAAAGCUGGGGGCUCCAGCAGGGCUCCAGGUGGUCGGGGUGGACAUCUAAAGAAGCAGUGACAUGGGAGGGGCAAGCACUGGGCCAGCCUUGAGCCGCCUGGAUGACAUCAGAGACAGAGGAUCUGGUAGCUCCAGGGAUCUCCGGUCCAUGCCUUACUUGGCCAGGGGUUUCCUGAAGGACCUGCCGGCAAACUUGGCUUUGCUGCCCAGCUCCUCCUCGAUUCUAAGGAUCUGAUUAGCCAAUCUGGUUCACUUUGAGCAGGAGGCAGUUGCAGGACUUUUCGCCUGCAGCCUUGGCGAUCCGCUUAGGGUUGGUCACUGUGAGGUCAUCCCCCACCACCUGGAUGCCUGCAGUAGCUGUGAACUUCUGCCAAGCAUCCCAGUCGUCCUGGUCAAAGGGAUCUUCAAUGGACACCACUGGGUAGUCCUUGAUGAAGGACUUGUACAGGUCGGCCAGCUGGUCGGGUGUGAUGUACCGGCUGGCAUCAUCUGGAGACUUGAAGUCCAGGUCAUACUUGCCAGCCCUGUAGAACGCGGAGGCAGCCACAUCCAUGCCGAUGACAACCUGGUCAGUGUAGCCGGCCUUUGCAAUGGCAGACUUGAGCAGCUCCAGUGCUUCUUUGUUCUCCAGGAUGUUAGGUGCGAAUCCACCCUCAUCACCCACAUUGGUGGCGUCUUUCCCGUACUUCUCCUUGAUGACGUUCUUCAGGUUGUGGUAAACCUCUGUUCCAAUGCGCAUGGCUUCCCGGAAAGAGGAUGCCCCCACAGGCAGGAUCAUGAACUCUUGCAUGGCCAACUUGUUGCCAGCAUGAGACCGCCGUUGAUCACAUUGAAAGCUGGGACCGGCAGGAUGACUUCAGGGUUGCCGGCCAAGUCGGCAAUGUGACGGUAAAGGGGCACCCUCUUCUCCACGGCACCAGCCUUGCAGACAGCCAGGGACACUCCCAGGAUGGCAUUUGCACCAAACUUAGAUUUAUUCUCUGUGCCGUCCAUCUCGAUCAUCAGCUGGUCAAUCUUCUCCUGCUCCACAACAUUCAGUUUCUUGCUAACCAGAGCAGGUGCAAUAGUUUUAUUGAUGUGCUCAACAGCCUUUGAGACACCCUUCCCCAUGAAGCGGGUCUUAUCAUUGUCUCGGAGUUCUAGGGCCUCGUAGAUGCCAGUGGACGCACCGCUGGGCACCGCAGCACGGAAGAGACCUUUUGCGGUGUAGAGAUCCACCUUAACGGUGGGAUUCCCGCGGGAGUCAAAGAUCUCUCUGGCAUGGAUCUUGAGAAUGGACAUGGUGAAGUUCUGGCAGUAGGAUCG